GUAAUGCCUAGGAAUCUGCCUGGUAGUGGGGGAUAACGUUCCGAAAGGAACGCUAAUACCGCGUACGUCCUACGGGAGAAAGCAGGGGACCUUCGGGCCUUGCGCUAUCAGAUGAGCCUAGGUCGGAUUAGCUAGUUGGUGAGGUAAUGGCUCACCAAGGCGACGAUCCGUAACUGGUCUGAGAGGAUGAUCAGUCACACUGGAACUGAGACACGGUCCAGACUCCUACGGGAGGCAGCAGUGGGGAAUAUUGGACAAUGGGCGAAAGCCUGAUCCAGCCAUGCCGCGUGUGUGAAGAAGGUCUUCGGAUUGUAAAGCACUUUAAGUUGGGAGGAAGGGCAGUAAGUUAAUACCUUGCUGUUUUGACGUUACCGACAGAAUAAGCACCGGCUAACUUCGUGCCAGCAGCCGCGGUAAUACGAAGGGUGCAAGCGUUAAUCGGAAUUACUGGGCGUAAAGCGCGCGUAGGUGGUUCGUUAAGUUGGAUGUGAAAGCCCCGGGCUCAACCUGGGAACUGCAUCCAAAACUGGCGAGCUAGAGUACGGUAGAGGGUGGUGGAAUUUCCUGUGUAGCGGU
rnacentral:rRNA from 1 species